rnacentral:lncRNA from 1 species
GCUGCUGUAGCCCCUACGUGGUGAGUAGAUCGUCUCCACAGAAAUCAGCGGAGGCUUCCACAGUCCCUGGUUGGAAUGGAACCGGCGGUGAGGAUGAGAGGCGCUGAAGACCAGAAGACCCAGGGCGUGAACGGGGCGUGUCAUCCCUGGAGUUUCAGUAGAAUUUCAGGCCUGUCUGCUUGAGCAGCAGAGGAGGAGUUUCUGUGUGCCUGUGAGAGACUGUGUGUGUGUGUGUGUGUGUGUGUGUGUGUGAGAUGAAUGAACAGGGUUGUGUACGUGUGUGUGCGUUAGACAAAUGAACAGUGUUGUGUACCUGUGUGAAUUGUCACUGUGACUCCAGGCUCUAGGCUCUGCAGAUUCCUCAGCCCUAUCGCCUCACAGACACUUGGGAUGUGCAGCAGGUAAAAGAGAGAAGCCAGAUUCAUGGAGGCGUGAAGGAUCCCAGCAAGAAAACACAGACUUGAUCUUGAGACGAGAUUUUUGAAAUUGGUUGCGGCCUCAAGGCAGGCUCUGAGAAGACUCGAUAAAGAGUUCUCAGGAAUAGGCAUCCCUCCUGGAUAUUUCCCCCUUGGAAGCGCCGAGGAGCCAGCUCUAUGUUUGUAACCAUAGCAUUUCUAAAGCUCCAGCCCCAGGAACCUGCUGUGAAUUAGAGACAGAUUCCACCCUAGGCAUCACUGAUCUUGGCCUCUCUUGUAUUGGGAAGGUCAACACUGUUCCAGUUUCUCUCCUACUCCCAUCUGGUUGUGCUCGGUGAAGUAGGUGAGCAGUGCUACCCUUCUGUUAAAAAAAAAAAAAAAAAAAAGAUCCUGAAAGAGGAAAGAAUUUUUGCUACACAUCUGAAAGCUAAAGUCCAGUUGAACUCCAGAGGAGAACACAGCCCAGGUAACCCCUCGUUUGCAGCCUGUGAGACCAGCCUGAGGACAGCACCCAGCUAAACUCCAGGUCCAUGGAAACUGUGAGAUUUUAUAUAUUUAUGUUGUUUUAAGCUAAAUUCGUGGUAAUUGGUUAUGGUAGCAACUGAAAAUUAAUGCAGUAAGAAAGUCUAAGGAGAUCGGAAGAGACUAAAGAGAAAUAACAGCUAAAUGCAACGUAGAUUAAUGUGUGGGAUCCUGGAAAAGAAAAAGGACAUUAAUGGGAAAACAUAUUUGAAUAAGAUGUGCAAAUUUUUCGUAUUGUACCAAUGUUAAUUUCCUGGUUUUGAUAAUUAUCCUUUGGUUAUGUAAGAUAAACGCUAGAAUGAAGGGUAUAUGAGAACCCUCUGUACUACUCUUGCAACUUUUCUCUAAGUCUAAAAUAAGUGGAAAUUAAAAGUUAAAACAAAAAAAAAGGAAAAUUUUAUCUAUCCCAAGACCACAAAGUUAUUUUUCUGUUUCUUCCUCCAGAAUCUUUAUUGUUUGUUUUCACACUUAGACCUAUGAUCCAUCUUGAAUUUAUAUCUGUGUAUGUAGUGGGAUGAAGUUCAAAAUCAUUUUUUUCAUACAGAUAUCCAAGUGCACUGGCACCGUUUGUUAAAAACACUGGCCUUCUCUUAAGCUGCAGUCAGACUUUUACUGUAAAGCAUGGGCCCAUAUAUGUGCAGGAGUCUUUCUACUUUUCCGUUGGUCCUCUUUGUCAAUCUUUGUGCCAGCACCUCCAUUUUAAUUCCUGUAGCUUUAUAUUAUAUCUUGAUAAUCUGGUAAUAUAAGUUGAAGAACAACUUUGUUCUUCAAAAUCACUUUGUCUAUUCCAGGUUCUUUGCAUUGCUCUAUAAUUUUAGAAUGAGUUAAUUAAUUUUCUCAAAACAAACAAAACGCCCUGCUGACAUUUUGUUGGCAGUACAUUGAAUCAGUAGAUAAAUUUAGAGAGAAUUAUCUCAAAAUUGAGUCUUACAGUUCAUGAACAUGGAAUACAUUUCCAUUUAUUGAAUUCAUCUUUAAUUUCUUUCCUUAAGGUUUUGUUGUUUCCUGUCUAAAGGUCUUGCACAUCUGUUAAAUUUAUUCCUGUUUUACAUUUUUUAUGUUUUUACAAACUGUUAAGGUUUUAAAAAUUUUAUUUUUCAGUAGCUUUGCUUUAAUAUAAUUGUUUUAUACUUUUACCCUUUAUUCAGCAAUAAAUUAUUUAAUUUAAAGCUUGUGGAAUUAAAAAAUAUUUUUAUGUACAUAAUCAUGUAAUCUACACUAUCUGCAAAUAAAGAUCAUUUUACUUCCUUCCAAAAAAAAAAAAAAAA